rnacentral:misc_RNA from 1 species
GAAAUGCGAUAAGUAAUGUGAAUUGCAGAAUUCAGUGAAUCAUCGUAUCUUUGAACGCACAUUGCGCCCGCCAGUAUUCUGGCGGGCAUGCCUGUUCGAGCGUCAUUACAACCCUCAGGCCCCCGGGCCUGGCGUUGGGGAUCGGCGGAAGCCCCCUGCGGGCACAACGCCGUCCCCCAAAUACAGUGGCGGUCCCGCCGCAGCUUCCAUUGCGUAGUAGCUAACACCUCGCAACUGGAGAGCGGCGCGGCCACGCCGUAAAACACCCAACUUCUGAAUGUUGACCUCGAAUCAGGUAGGAAUACCCGCUGAACUUAAGC